AGCGAACGCUGGCGGCAGGCCUAACACAUGCAAGUCGAACGAUCCUUCGGGAUAGUGGCGGACGGGUGAGUAACACGUGGGAACGUACCUUUAGGUUCGGGAUAACUCAGGGAAACUUGAGCUAAUACCGGAUGUGCCCUUCGGGGGAAAGAUUUAUCGCCUUUAGAGCGGCCCGCGUUAGAUUAGCUAGUUGGUGAGGUAAAGGCUCACCAAGGCUCCGAUCUAUAGCUGGUCUGAGAGGAUGAUCAGCCACACUGGGACUGAGACACGGCCCAGACUCCUACGGGAGGCAGCAGUGGGGAAUCUUGCGCAAUGGGCGAAAGCCUGACGCAGCCAUGCCGCGUGAAUGAUGAAGGUCUUAGGAUUGUAAAAUUCUUUUAGCAGGGACGAUAAUGACGGUACCUGCAGAAAAAGCCCCGGCUAACUUCGUGCCAGCCGCCGCCGUAACAC
rnacentral:rRNA from 1 species